rnacentral:rRNA from 1 species
GACGUAGGGGACGAGCGUUGUCCGGAUUCAUUGGGCGUAAAGCGCGCGUAGGCGGUUACGCAAGUCGGUUGUGAAAAUCCGGGGCUCAACCCCGGACCUGCAUCCGAUACUGCGUGACUAGAGGUAGGUAGGGGAGAUCGGAAUUCCUGGUGUAGCGGUGAAAUGACGCAGAUAUCAGGAGGAACACCGGUGGCGAAGGCGGAUCUCUGGGCCUUACCUGACGCUCAGGUGCGAAAGCUAGGGGAGCGAACAGG